CCCACUUCUCCCCACCUGUGUGGCCCCGACCCGGGUCUAAAGGGCCACCAUCUCCACCCCGAACGUCCCAGUGGCCUCCCAACUGAUCCCCGUGGUCCCUCUUGAUCCCCCAAGACCUAGUCUCCUUUUGGCAACUUGGGUGAGCCUUUAAAUCUUCUGAUCUUGCUGCUCCUCCAUGCAAACCGUCCGCUGGUUUCCGGAUCUAAAUGCAAAGUUCUUAUCUGUGUUCACCAUCUGUUGCGACACAACAAUAUUCUCACAAACUUAGUGACUUGAAACAACACACGUUUGUCAUCUCAGCUCCUGGGGCUCAGGAGCCUGGCUGUCGGCUCAGCUGGUCCUCUGGACGGCCGCAGUGAGGGUGGUGGCCGGGGCUGAGCUCCCAUCUGAGCUCAAUCAAGGGAGGAGCCACGUUCAAGUCUGUGUGCUUGUCUGCGGGACGCAGUGCUUUGCUGACCGUUGGCCAGAGGCUGCCCUCGGUUUUUUGUCAUGUCAGCUCACACAGCUUCAUCACAGCCAGCGAGGAAGCGAGUCCAGCAGCAAGAUAGAGAUCAUAAUCGUAUGCAACGUCAUCCUGGAAGCACAUCCCGUCACCUUUGUCAUAUUCUACUGGUUAGAAGAACUGCCCCGGCCCAAUGGCAUGGGUCUCUGGUGGGGCUGACCCACUGCCCUGACCCCCACCCUCACUCAGAGGUGGGCAGGUACCUAGAUUGGGAAAUCCAGGUGUUCCAUUCCCUGGACCAAGAGGUGAGCCGAGACCUGGCCAUCGUCUCCUGGAGCAAGAAGCUCCCCCCUGCCUCAGGGUCACCAGCCAACACUGUACGUCUGGAGCCAUCAGUGGCCAAGUCCCCUGGCCACGCAGAGGAAGCCUGUCUGUGGCAGGAAAUAACGAAGCCACCAUUCCGACAGAUGCCAGCUUGAACAAUGGAGCUGGAGAGACAGAGAGAAACAGAGCCGCAGAGAAGAGGUCGCCCGCGAACCCCAGGACCCAGCGCUGCCCGGACGGGAUCUCCCUCUUAGAGACACUGCUUCCAUUCAGGCUCGUGUCACCGGCACUUCAUGGACUCCUGACUCAAUAACGACAGCUCGGGAAGACCCUUCGCUCUCAUCAAAGACCCAGAAGUCUUGCCACGAUGAGACCCGUUUAUCCUUCUCGAGCUCGUUUCCUAAACUCACUUGCCCAGGACGUCCUUCUCCCACACGACAUGCACGAACACUUGGAUGACUGGGGAGAAAGAGACAGGACAGCAGAGGUGGGAGGUGACAUUUGCAUUAUUAAACUCAUCUGGAAAGUGGGCUUUGAGGUGGCCACUUGGAGCCAGAUGUCAAGAAUUAUCUAG
rnacentral:lncRNA from 1 species